CAAUUAUUGCUUUCGAAUAUUCUCAUGGUAUUGCUCUUUGUUUUUGAGGAUCCAAUUAAUAAGCAAAUCAUGGAGACUUGGCUGUUGACCUCAACACUCUCGUCUGCUUUGACUCCUUCAAUAUCUUGGAUGUGAACCAGGCUUGGAAUAUUGGGUGUUCUUGUUUUUGAUACAUGUAAAGAGGUAAGCUAAGCAUCUCUUUCAAGAUCUCUCUAGCUGCUGCAGCGAUUCCAAAUCGCUUUCUUUCUUCAAGUUCCUUAGAAGGAGAAUUGUAUAGCAACCAACUCUCUUUGCGUUUUGCUCCAGGUGUGGGCCAAUUUUGAUGCCUUUUGUGAAUCCCUCCAUCUGGGCUUAUCAAAAGAGGAGGAGGAAAGAAGUAAGUUUCUCUUCUCAGUUACGUUCUGUGAAUUUUAAAGGACUACACAUGUUUCAAUUCAGUACUGAGCUAGUUUCAAUUCAAACUUCUUUACAAAAGAAAAAUAAAGAAAAGAAAACUGUCCUCUGAUGUGAAUGAGUAAGCAAACUUCACAUAAACUAGGAAGGAAAGGGGAAGUUGGAUUCUUGAGUUCACAGGCUAAUGGUGGAGUCCAUGUUACAAUUGCUUUGUUUAAACAAAUCUGUUCCAGUUAGUAUUCUGUUUUUCCAUGUUUUAGUUUCAUAGCGUUUUGACAUAUCGUUUCAAACCGUUUAUAAUUCAAAAUAUUAAUUUAACAAGUAUAAUUUCAAUGUAUAACCCCAAUUCAAAUUAUGUAAUUUAAAUUUUAAACACUAGUAUAAAAGUUGGAUUUGAACUGGUAUGACCUCAUCAAUUUGAUAAGUUCGAAGAUAACCUAGAAUCCUGGAUGACUAGUAAUAAUAUAAUUUGGCUAAAAUCAUUAAAGAAGACAACAUAUUAAAUCGAUCCGAGUUAACUUGAGUUAACUUUUUAAAUCAAUGACCCGAGUUAAAAGAUUAUAAUAAUUUUAAAUAAAUCAAAUCAAAAUAAAUCAUACAGCUCAAUUCACUAAUGAGUUAGUUCUCAUGAUUUCAAAAACUAUGUGUGUAGAGUAUCUGGUUUUAAAUCAAUGGAAAUCUUCAAUUUCAGACACUUGAAAAGCGCACAAAAUAGAAAAAGAUAAAAAUAAAAAACCUAAAAAGUUAAAAAGUUAAAAAACCUGGAAAUGUACUUAAAAACCUGAAGAAAAAAAAAACUUAACUCUUUGGAAACGUAAUUUGAGAUCAGUACAUAUAUAACUCAUACUACUAGAGACAGAAUCUGAUCACAUAUAAUUAAUUAAAUCCAUUAUUAAUGAUGGGAAUUACAUGCACGUAAUACAUAUUCAAGAAACCAAGAACAGCAACAUAUUCAUUUAAUUAGACUCAAACACUCAAACAUACAUAAAUUUACACACAAAAAAACACCAAACUUAGGAAAUUCAUUCUUCUAUAUAUAUCUGGAUAUGGCCGAACAUCCUCGCUCCAUGCAAAUAAUAGCUAGUUAGCUCUUGUCACUUCAACCCAAACCUCCUCACCAAACAGCUUGAAACCACUCCUCCUCUUAGCUUCAAUCCUGAACUGUGACCCCAGGUUCUGGUCAUCCUCACGAUGAAGAACAACCUUGUCACCAACUCUCAGUCCAUAAUGAGCAACAAAAUCACGCCAGCCCAUAGAAAGCUCUGGCUUGUCAUAUCCUCCAUUUCUCUUCCGGCAACGAAUAACUCGAAGCUCACCACAGCUAUCUUUAACAUGCAAAUCAACAUAAUUAUUUCCAGCAAAAUCUAAAUACUGCAAGCAAUGAGUUGGGAACGAGAAACGAUGAUGAACAUCAGUAUCUGUCAACACUUUGCUGAAGAUCUGCAUUUUUUUCUCAAGGGUCGUAAAAAGAGAGAGAAAUGGUUAUGUUUAAGCUAUCUGCUGGAUUGAUAUGGUUUCUUGCAGGGAGCUAUCUGUUGAUUGAUAUGGUUUCUUGCAGGGAGCUAUCUGUUGAUUUAUACUAAAAACUAGCUAGCUACUGUAUUCACGGUAGAAAGACAUCGAGCGAGAGAUUUCGGAAAUCUUGUUCAUUUGAUCGAUUUCGCAUGGCGUUAUUUAAAUCUUGAUGGAUUAUUUGUAGAUAGAACAAGAGAAACGCAGGCUUAUGACUACGCUUUUUCAAAGACUAAAUGAGCCAGGAGGUACGCUCGUAUUGCCUCUCGUGCACCUCGUUCGUUCUAACUUGCGAAAAGCAAACACUUGCUCAAGAUCUUGCAUGCUUGUCUAAGUGUUUCUAGAGCAUUUUGGGCAAGGUGGGCAAUGGCCAAGGACCCCAUUUAAUAAAAAAAACUACAAGAAUAAAUAAGGUUUCUUUUUCAAUUAUAUUUUAUGAAAUGAAAAUUGUCCUCCUGUUAGACAUAUAUGAAUAAUAAUAAAAUAUAUUUCUUAAAAAUUAUAUUUUAAAAGGUUUAUGGAGUUAUUAAUCAUGCUCAAUAAUUUUUACAGUGUGCAACUUCAAUAUGAAAAUGGAGAUUUAUAUAAUAGAUUGCAUAAGAUUUGUUAUCAGUUAAUUGUAUUUUACCAUUAUUAUUGGCUCUUGUGAUUUUAGAUAAAGCUGGUUCUUGAUCUUGCAGGCAUGUGCUCUAAGUCCGCCCAAAGUUUCAUCAAAUCCUGCGUUUUCUUGAGAUUUCUGCGAGGUUUUUGUUGAAGGUGCACGAUAUUGUUGAAGGGCAAAUCCUUCCAUGCGUGUCCAAAAUUCGAAGUCAUUUUCAAUUCAAGGUCCACGAUAUAUUUUUUAUAAUAUAAUAAUGCUAGAACUACGCUCGAUCUCCUCAGCAUGCAUCGAGUAAUCGCGUUUGGAUUUCGAGUUCGACUGAUUUGAAAUGCUCGGUGGCUGUGUUGUGUGCAUGUAGCCCAGAGAAUAAAUAGUGUUUGUGUCAUCGACCGAGACCGUCAGCACUGUGGGCGUGCAAUGACGUUUCUACUCGGAGGAGGCUAUGUGAUUUCUUUUUGACAGGCAGCGGUUUCUUUUCUUCAUUCUUUAUUAUUUUUUCC
rnacentral:lncRNA from 1 species